rnacentral:rRNA from 1 species
AACGAACGCUGGCGGCAUGCCUUACACAUGCAAGUCGAACGGUAACAGGUCUUCGGAUGCUGACGAGUGGCGAACGGGUGAGUAAUACAUCGGAACGUGCCUAGUAGUGGGGGAUAACUACUCGAAAGAGUGGCUAAUACCGCAUGAGAUCUACGGAUGAAAGCAGGGGAUCACAAGACCUUGUGCUACUAGAGCGGCCGAUGGCAGAUUAGGUAGUUGGUGGGAUAAAAGCUUACCAAGCCGACGAUCUGUAGCUGGUCUGAGAGGACGAUCAGCCACACUGGGACUGAGACACGGCCCAGACUCCUACGGGAGGCAGCAGUGGGGAAUUUUGGACAAUGGGCGCAAGCCUGAUCCAGCAAUGCCGCGUGCAGGAUGAAGGCCUUCGGGUUGUAAACUGCUUUUGUACGGAACGAAAAGCCCUGGGUUAAUACCCUGGGGUCAUGACGGUACCGUAAGAAUAAGCACCGGCUAACUACGUGCCAGCCGCCGCCGUAACAC